rnacentral:rRNA from 1 species
UACGUAGGGGGCAAGCGUUGUCCGGAUUUAUUGGGCGUAAAGAGCGUGUAGGCGGCUUUACAGGUCCGUUGUGAAAACUCGAGGCUCAACCUCGAGACGCCGGUGGAAACCGUAAAGCUAGAGUCCGGAAGAGGAGAGUGGAAUUCCCGGUGUAGCGGUGAAAUGCGCAGAUAUCGGGAAGAACACCCGUGGCGAAGGCGGCUCUCUGGGACGGUACUGACGCUGAGGUGCGAAAGCGUGGGGAGCAAACAGG